rnacentral:rRNA from 1 species
GGAGUCUAACAUGUGCGCGAGUCAAUUGGGUUCGUCAGCGAAACCCAGAGGCGCAGUGAAAGUGAAGGCUGCCGAAGAGGCAGCGGARGGAGGAUGGUUCCGGCCCCGUCCGGAGCUCGCACUCCCGGGGCGUCUCACCCUCACUGCGAGGAGAGACGCACCCAGAGCGUACACGUUGGGACCCGAAAGAUGGUGAACUAUGCCUGGCCAGGACGAAGUCAGGGGAAACCCUGAUGGAGGUCCGUAGCGAUUCUGACGUGCAAAUCGAUCGUCAGAGCUGGGUAUAGGGGCGAAAGACCAAUCGAACCAUCUAGUAGCUGGUUCCCUCCGAAGUUUCCCUCAGGAUAGCUGGUGCUCGGAGGAAAGAGUCUCAUGUGGUAAAGCGAAUGAUUAGAGGCCUUGGGGCCGAAACGACCUCAACCUAUUCUCAAACUUUAAAUGGGUGAGAUCUCCGGCUUGCUCAAAGUGAAGCCGGGGACGGAUCAKAGUGCCAAGUGGGCCAUUUUUG